rnacentral:rRNA from 2 species
GACCUCAAAUCAGGUAGGACUACCCGCUGAACUUAAGCAUAUCAAUAAGCGGAGGAAAAGAAACUAACAAGGAUUCCCCUAGUAACUGCGAGUGAAGCGGGAAAAGCUCAAAUUUAAAAUCUGACAGUCUUUGGCUGUCCGAGUUGUAAUCUAGAGAAGCAUUAUCCGCGCUGGACCGUGUACAAGUCUCCUGGAAUGGAGCGUCAUAGAGGGUGAGAAUCCCGUCUUUGGCACGGACUGCCAGGGCUUUGUGAUGUGCUCUCAAAGAGUCGAGUUGUUUGGGAAUGCAGCUCAAAAUGGGUGGUAAAUUCCAUCUAAAGCUAAAUAUUGGCGAGAGACCGAUAGCGAACAAGUACCGUGAGGGAAAGAUGAAAAGAACUUUGGAAAGAGAGUUAAACAGUACGUGAAAUUGCUGAAAGGGAAACGCUUGAAGUCAGUCGUGUCAGUCAGGGAUCAGCCUUGCUUUUGCUUGGUGUACUUCCUGGCUGAUGGGUCAGCAUCAAUUUUGACUAUUGGAAAAAGAUCAGGGGAAUGUGGCAUCUUCGGAUGUGUUAUAGCCCUUGGUUGUAUGCAAUGGUUGGGAUUGAGGAACUCAGCAUGCCGCAAGGCCGGGUUUAACCACGAACAUGCUAGA